UACAGAGGGUGCGAGCGUUGUUCGGAAUUAUUGGGCGUAAAGCGCUUGUAGGCGGCCUGUCAAGUCGCGUGUGAAAUCCCCUGGCUUAACCAGGGAAGUGCGCGCGAAACUGAAGGGCUUGAGUGCCGGAGAGGGUCGCGGAAUUCCCGGUGUAGAGGUGAAAUUCGUAGAUAUCGGGAGGAACACCAGUGGCGAAGGCGGCGACCUGGACGGACACUGACGCUGAGACGCGAAAGCGUGGGGAGCGAACAGG
rnacentral:rRNA from 1 species